rnacentral:rRNA from 1 species
GUCGGGAAUUUUGGGCAAUGGGGGAAACCCUGACCCAGCAACGCCGCGUGAGGGAUGAAGGCCUUCGGGUCGUAAACCUCUGUCGGGAGGGACGAAUCCGCUCCGGCGAACAGUCGGAGCGGUUGACGGUACCUCCAAAGGAAGCACCGGCUAACUCCGUGCCAGCAGCCGCGGUAAUACGGAGGGUGCAAGCGUUGUUCGGAAUCAUUGGGCGUAAAGCGCAUGUAGGCGGCUUGGUAAGUCGGAUGUGAAAUCCCGGGGCCCAACCCCGGAACUGCAUUCGAUACUGCCUCGCUGGAGUCCCGGAGAGGAGAGCGGAAUUCCCGGUGUAGAGGUGAAAUUCGUAGAUAUCGGGAGGAACACCAGUGGCGAAGGCGGCUCUCUGGACGGUGACUGACGCUGAGAUGCGAAAGCGUGGGUAGCAAACAGGAUUAGAUACCCCGGUAGUCC